rnacentral:rRNA from 1 species
AGUGAACGCUGGCGGUAGGCCUAACACGUGCAAGUCGAACGGCAGCACAGUAAGAGCUUGCUCUUACGGGUGGCGAGUGGCGGACGGGUGAGGAAUACAUCGGAAUCUACUUUUUCGUGGGGGAUAACGUAGGGAAACUUACGCUAAUACCGCAUACGACCUACGGGUGGAAGCAGGGGAUCUUCGGACCUUGCGCGAUUGAAUGAGCCGAUGUCGGAUUAGCUAGUUGGCGGGGUAAAGGCCCACCAAGGCGACGAUCCGUAGCUGGUCUGAGAGGAUGAUCAGCCACACUGGAACUGAGACACGGUCCAGACUCCUACGGGAGGCAGCAGUGGGGAAUAUUGGACAAUGGGCGCAAGCCUGAUCCAGCCAUACCGCGUGGGUGAAGAAGGCCUUCGGGUUGUAAAGCCCUUUUGUUGGGAAAGAAAAGCAGCAGGUUAAUACCCCGCUGUUCUGACGGUACCCAAAGAAUAAGCACCGGCUAACUUCGUG